rnacentral:rRNA from 1 species
CCUACGGGUGGCAGCAGUGAGGAAUAUUGGUCAAUGGACGAGAGUCUGAACCAGCCAAGUAGCGUGAAGGAUGACUGCCCUAUGGGUUGUAAACUCCUUUUAUAUGGGAAUAAAAUGUUCCACGUGUGGGAUUUUGUAUGUACCAUAUGAAUAAGGAUCGGCUAAUUCCGUGCCAGCAGCCGCGGUAAUACGGAGGAUCCGAGCGUUAUCCGGAUUUAUUGGGUUUAAGGGGAGCGUAGGUGGAUGGUUAAGUCAGUUGUGAAAGUUUGCGGCACAACCGUAAAAUUGCAGUUGAAACUGGCAGGCUUGAGUACAGUAGAGGUGGGCGGAAUUCGUGGUGUAGCGGUGAAAUGCUUAGAUAUCACGAAGAACACCGAUUGCGAAGGCAGCUCACUGGACUGCAACUGACACUGAGGCUCGAAAGUGUGGGUAUCAAACAGGAUUAGAUACCCUUGUAGUC